UACGUAGGGGGCAAGCGUUGUCCGGAAUUAUUGGGCGUAAAGCGCGCGCAGGCGGCUAUUUAAGUCUUAUGUAUAAACCCAAGGCUCAACCUUGGAUCGCAUGGGAAACUGGGUGGCUUGAGUGUAGGAGAGGAAAGUGGAAUUCCACGUGUAGCGGUGAAAUGCGUAGAUAUCGUUUGGAACGCCAAUGGUGAAAACAGGUUGCUGGGAGUGUGCUGACGCUGAGACACGAAAGCCAGGGGAGCGAACGGG
rnacentral:rRNA from 1 species